CCUGAUGCAGCAACGCCGCGUGAGGGACGACGGCCUUCGGGUUGUAAACCUCUUUUAGUAGGGAAGAAGCGAAAGUGACGGUACCUGCAGAAAAAGCACCGGCUAACUACGUGCCAGCAGCCGCGGUAAUACGUAGGGUGCAAGCGUUAUCCGGAAUUAUUGGGCGUAAAGAGCUCGUAGGCGGUUUGUCGCGUCUGCUGUGAAAACCCGAGGCUCAACCUCGGGCCUGCAGUGGGUACGGGCAGACUAGAGUGCGGUAGGGGAGAUUGGAAUUCCUGGUGUAGCGGUGGAAUGCGCAGAUAUCAGGAGGAACACCGAUGGCGAAGGCAGAUCUCUGGGCCGUUACUGACGCUGAGGAGCGAAAGCAUGGGGAGCGAACAGGAUUAGAUACCCUGGUAGUCCAUGCCGUAAACGUUGGGAACUAGAUGUAGGGACCAUUCCACGGUUUCUGUGUCGCAGCUAACGCAUUAAGUUCCCCGCCUGGGGAGUACGGCCGCAAGGCUAAAACUCAAAGGAAUUGACGGGGGCCCGCACAAGCGGCGGAGCAUGCGGAUUAAUUCGAUGCAACGCGAAGAACCUUACCAAGGCUUGACAUAUACCGGAAAAGUUCAGAAAUGUUCUCCCCGCAAGGUCGGUAU
rnacentral:rRNA from 1 species